CUACGUGCCAGCAGCCGCGGUAAUACGGAAGGUCCGGGCGUUAUCCGGAAUUAUUGGGUUUAAAGGGAGCGCAGGCGGGAGUAUAAGUCAGCUGUUAAAUAUCAGGGCCCAACUCUGUUAUGCAGUUGAAACUAUAUUUCUUGAGUACGCACAGGGAUGGCGGAAUUCAGGGUGUAGCGGUGAAAUGCUUAGAUAUCCUGAAGAACUCCGAUCGCGAAGGCAGCCAUCCGGAGCGUAACUGACGCUGAGGCUCGAAGGUGCGGGUAUCGAACAGGAUUAGAUACCCUGGUAGUCCGCACGGUAAACGAUGAAUACUCGCAGUUCGGCCUUUUAGGUCGAGUUGUCCAGCGAAAGCGUUAAGUAUUCCACCUGGGGAGUACGCCGGCAACGGUGAAACUCAAAGGAAUUGACGGGGGCCCGCACAAGCGGAGGAACAUGUGGUUUAAUUCGAAGCAACGCGAAGAACCUUACCAGGUCUUGACAUCCCUCUGACCGCUCUAGAGAUAGAGUUUUC
rnacentral:rRNA from 1 species